GAUGAACGCUGGCGGCGUGCCUAAUACAUGCAAGUCGAGCGAACGGACGAGAAGCUUGCUUCUCUGAUGUUAGCGGCGGACGGGUGAGUAACACGUGGAUAACCUACCUAUAAGACUGGGAUAACUUCGGGAAACCGGAGCUAAUACCGGAUAAUAUUUUGAACCGCAUGGUUCAAAAGUGAAAGACGGUCUUGCUGUCACUUAUAGAUGGAUUCGCGCUGCAUUAGCUAGUUGGUAAGGUAACGGCCUACCAAGGCAACGAUGCAUAGCCGACCUGAGAGGAUGAUCGGCCACACUGGAACUGAGACACGGUCCAGACUCCUACGGGAGGCAGCAGUAGGGAAUCUUCCGCAAUGGGCGAAAGCCUGACGGAGCAACGCCGCGUGAGUGAUGAAGGUCUUCGGAUCGUAAAACUCUGUUAUUAGGGAAGAACAGAUGUGUAAGUAACUGUGCACAUCUUGACGGUACCUAAUCAGAAAGCCACGGCUAACUACGUG
rnacentral:rRNA from 1 species